rnacentral:lncRNA from 1 species
AACUGUCAACCGAAUCCAAGUUUUUCCCCUGUUUCAGAAUGGAGCCACAUGAUCCUCCGCGUGAUCAUCUCCCUCGCGUCCGAAUAUCUCAUGGCCAGCUCAGAUUAACUUCAUCUCCAGCCAUGAUUUCCUCCUUCCUAGAUUUCCUCCAAGCAACCGAGAACACCAUCCCAUAAACAUAUCUUCCCUAGCCGAAUCUCCCAACAUCAUCUUAUCUUCAUCUUCCGAAUCUGCUCAUUCCCUCUUCCGUGAUCUCAGCAGUGAGCAUUAGCUCUUCUUCCAACUCAAAUUUCUCUCUUCCAUCAUUUCCUCUCAUCCGCAUCCCAGCCGGAUAGCAUCCCAGCCAACCGCAAAUCAAAGCCUCCCUUAGCCCCUGCUUUGGAACAGAAUUCCCAAACGCUCGCAGCUGUUCAAUGCAUUCACAACUUCAUCCAGAUCACUUCACAACCACGGAUCCAGCAAAUCGAACCUCUUCCCUAUCCUCCACGGAUCCGACCUACCCUCCCACAUCAUCCGUAUCAUCCCAGAUUUCCUCCAAGCUUCCGAGCCAUCCGAGCCUCCUCCGCAUCCUUCCAAUAUCCCACAGAUCACCUCCUCUGUUCCUAGCUGUGUCCAAGCACAUCCACUGCGCGUUCACAACGCGUUCCAUCCGUUCCCAACCUCAAAUCCCAGCAUAUCCAUGGAUAAACUCCGAACUAAUUUAUCUCCCAGAUUUUCUCUUCGGAAUCAUCCAAGCUCCCAUGCGUCCGUGACCAACAUCCUAGCUUGUUCCAUCCGGCAACGUCCCACGCAUUCGAGAUUCUCCCUAGCUUCCGAGAUCUCCCCUCAGCGAAACAAAUCUUAGGAGCUCGUCUUCAUCACCUACCGAACUCAGGAUCAUUCUCCCACAUCCAUGAACAAACUUUCCUGCAUCCUUAUCCCAACUCCAUUAUCUCGGAUUACUUCCCCUACUUCAGGAUUAAUUCCAUCCGAAUCCAUUCAAGCACCUUCCGAUCUCAGCGAUCUCACUUCCAGCGGAAUCCUCUGCAUCCACAACGGCCCAACGCGUCCGGAGAUUAAGCAGAAAUCUCUCAACCUCAUCCCG